UCAGUACAAGCACAGAGAAGCCCACACUGGUGGAGAGGAUAACUGAUGCUGUGAAGUCCUACAUCUACAUACCAGAGGAAGUUUUCCGGUUUCCCCUGAAGCUGGCGAUAUCUGGAGUAGUGUCAUUUACCGCUCUUUACCAGAUGGCUUUGGUGUUUGUGACCAGCGUGGUGCCGACGCUCCAGAUUGUCCGUCAAGGCAUCAACGAAGAUAUCGCCUUCCUAUUGGCCGGUUUCAACAUCAUAUUAUCAGAGGACAGGGCCGAAGUGGUCCGGAUAGUGGUCUACUACAUGUGGUGUGUAGAAGGUGAGUUAGGGUAGUGGUCUACUACAUGUGGUGUGUAGAAGGUGAGUUAGGGUAGUGGUCUACUACAUGUGGUGUGUAGAAGGUGAGUUAGGGUAGUGGUCUACUACAUGUGGUGUGUAGAAGGUGAGUUAGGGUAGUGGUCUACUACAUGUGGUGUGUAGAAGGUGAGUUAGGGUAGUGGUCU